UGUGGAAGCCUUUGAACAAGAAGCAGUUUUUCCACUCGGCCGAUUUCACUUCAUCAGAGCCUGUUUUAAGCAGAUAAUCGGUUUCUCAGACAUGAUUUCCAACACGUCUCCAUCAGGAUGAUUUAGCGGGAAAUUUCACAGACUUUGUUCAAAGCUCCAGCUGCAGCAUGGAUGUCUGUGGUCUGGAUCCAAGCUUGGAGCGUUCAGCAUGCCCAGACGUGGUAGAGAGUGACCGCUAAUCCUGUUUGAGCCGGCGCUGACAAAGCCUCGCUCUGUUCCCCAACCUCGUCUCGCUGUCCUCACGAGACUCGGCAUGUGGAUGAAGAUCUGCGGCAGCCCACUUCGUGCACGCUGGACUCAAAUGUGCCUUUUCAUUCCUCCAUCCUCCAUCCUCACUCCCCCUGUGAGAUCUGCAUCGUGUUAACGUGUAGUGAAAGCGUCAGGUCACGGGGCCUUCACGCUAACCCCAAGGUCUGGGGGAAUGAAACUCGAGUCUCGUGGAGGACGUCAGGAUCGAUUGAAGGUGAAAGGUGAGGAUGGUGAUUGGGAACAGACACCAGCGGGAAAAACUCUAGAGAGAACGAAGGGGAAAAAAAGAUGAAUGAUCCUGAUUAUCUUGCGAAGAAGAUAAGAAACAGAAGUGAUGACAAUAAUAACUUUUAUAAAACCAAGCCCAAUGAGUACGCAGGGCUCGAGCGGAUGCCUUUAAUGUGACGGAUGUGAUGUAGCUGCGACAAAAUGCUCCAUUCGUCAUGAUGAGAGAACAGAUGUCACACAUAUGUGUUACCAUGGGAAUCCCAAAAUAUUGCACUCCAAACAUUCACUGAUAAGAGUUCACCUUGAUUUACUGCUAUUAAAGCAGAUACUACACAAGGAGAACCUGGAGUCCAUCCCAGGGAACAAGGUGGGGGACACCAUGGACGAGGUGCCAACACAUCACAGGGCACAAUCACGCACGACACACACUAUGGAGAACUUAGAGAUGGCAGUCAGCCUAAAAGGCAUGUCUUUGGAAUGUGGGAGGAAACCGAGGCACCUGGAAGAAACCCCCUAAACCCCUUGUCACCACAGGCUGGCUCAUUAGGAAU